rnacentral:rRNA from 1 species
AUUGAACGCUGGCGGCAGGCCUAACACAUGCAAGUCGAACGAGUGGCGGACGGGUGAGUAAUGUCUGGGAAACUGCCUGAUGGAGGGGGAUAACUACUGGAACAGGUAGCUAAUACCGCAUACCAUCGUAUGUGCCCAGAUGGGUUUAGCUAGUAGGUGGGGUAAAGGCUCACCUAGGCGACGAUCCGUAACUGGUCUGAGAGGCUGAUCAGUCACACUGGAACUGAGACACGGUCCAGACUCCUACGGGAGGCAGCAGUGGGGAAUAUUGGACAAUGGGUGAAAGCCUGACCCAGCCAUGCCGCGUGUGUGAAGAAGGUCUUCGGAUUGUAAAGCACUUUAAGUUGGGAGGCGUUACCAACAGAAUAAGCACCGGCUAACUCCGUGCCAGCAGCCGCGGUAAUAC